GGAGCCGGGCGGCGGCCGGGCGGUGCUCUCCCGCCGCCUGAGUGGGCGCGGCGCGGGACGGCGGCGCGGGGUGCCGGGAGCCAUGGGCUAUUGCAGCGGCCGGUGCACACUGGUGGCCGUGUGCGGCGCGCAGCUGGUUUCUGUGCUCGAGAGGCAGAUAUUUGACUUCCUUGGUUAUCAGUGGGCACCCAUCCUCGCAAAUUUUAUACAUAUUAUUAUAGUCAUUCUUGGCUUAUUUGGAACCAUCCAGUAUAGACCUCGUUACAUAACAGGAUAUGCUGUCUGGCUGAUCCUUUGGGUUACAUGGAACGUGUUCGUUAUCUGCUUCUAUUUGGAGGCUGGAGACCUUUCAAAGGAAACAGAUCUCAUUCUGACCUUUAACAUCUCAAUGCACCGUUCCUGGUGGAUGGAGAAUGGGCCAGGCUGCACCGUGACCUCAGUAACCCCAGCACCGGACUGGGCACCAGAGGAUCAUCGUUACAUCACUGUCUCGGGGUGUUUCCUUGAAUACCAGUACAUAGAAGUGGCUCACAGCUCUCUUCAGAUCUUCCUUGCACUGGCAGGCUUCAUCUAUGCCUGUUAUGUUGUGAAGUGUAUUACUGAAGAAGAGGACAGCUUUGAUUUCAUAGGUGGAUUUGACUCUUAUGGCUAUCAAGGUCCACAGAAGACAUCUCAUUUACAGCUGCAGCCCAUGUAUAUUGCCAACAGUGUGCUCUAUGCUGUCCAAGCCAAGAAGCCUAGACAGUCCCUUCAAAAUGAAUACGCUUUUUGAACAGAACGGGAUGCUCAUGUACCUCCUUGCAGUGUGGCCACAGCUGAUGUACUCAAAAGCAGCUUCCGGGCAUUCUGUGCCGGAGAUGCCAGUGCUCAUUUCCAGACCAUGGGAGAAGGACACAAUAAGAUGGCGGAAAUCAAUUGUCAAGUCAAAAUUCUCCUCAUGGGAGGUGAUGGAGGAAGGUCAAAGUAAAUAUGGGGACUAUUCAAGGUGGGCUAGAGGACCUGUUCAAAAAUCUCUUUCAGGAUGGCCUCCUGGUUCUUCAAAGAGAAAAGAAAUUCCAUUUUUGUGCUAAAAAUAUUGUAUAAAAACUGAUUGAACAGUGAGACAGAAAACAGAGACCUGCAGCCUCUCUUUCUAACAGGUACUAAAGGAGACGCCCCAGAACCCCUCCUUGAACCUCCUGCCUCUCAGCACCAGAGGGACACAGCAGAGGCAUUGGUGCCACCUUUUGUCCCCUUUUUUUCCCUUGGCCACCGCCACCAUGGCCCAUCUGGAUUAAGACAUGAACCCAGCCCACUCAGUGCUGUGGGAGCCUCCUCCACACUCCGGGCCGCGUUGAGUCUCCUCAGUCAACAACACUGAAACACCAGGAUGACCUUGCAGCAGAAGUCAAUAGACAGCGCAUUGUUUGCCCUGAAGGCUGUACAGUUCAUACUUGCCUUAACCCAACUGCGUUGCACAUUAGAGAAACUACGUGCAAGCUUUCUGAAGUUAACAUGCUGCUGUUAAUUCUGAACGAUUUCUAAGUCAGUGGUUUUCUUUUGUUUGGUUUUGCUUUGUUUUCAUGUCAGGGAAUAAGGCUCUGUUGCUCCAUGGCUCCAGAGCAACCAAGUAGAAAACUGCCAGCUGUCUGAUAAGUGCUUUACUUUUGGGGCUCCACAGUGGUCAAGAAAUAGUUUAUAAUGAUUAAAAAGAAAAAUAAAUAAAGAAAUAACUGAGAACCUUUUGGGGUCAAGAUGGGGAAAGGGGUAACAGAAACUAAUAAUUGAACCUACUGGAAAUAAGCAGCAGAAACAGUGCUUCUUAAUCCCGCUGGUUUUAUUUAUCGCACUGUAGGUGCUUUUAUAGCUAUCUCUAAACAUCUUUUACUAACUACAGAGACAUCUGCAGAUUUCUAUGAACAAAGGCCAACUGAAUAUGUACUAUCUAUGUUUACUCUUUUAUAUCUGAUUUCAACUAAAAAUUCUCUGUAAGUGAGCUUUUUUUUUUCCUAAUUGCACCAUAAGGGAUCCACAUAUUUUAUUUCUUGAUUUUGGUUGGAGAGGGCAGGGAGGGACUAGUUGAGUUGAAGAAAUACUGAAGACCUUUUUGUGGUAUAUUUGGGGGAUCUGUCGUGUGUUAGAACGUGUAUUUUAUCUUCCUGUAUUAUUGUGGCUGAAAAAAAACCCUCUGUGCUGUUACGUAGUUGGCAACAAGAUGCCUUUGGGAAUUUUGCUAGUAGGUCAAUGUGUAUAUGAAAUACUCUGAACUCCUAGGAACAUAUGUUUUAUUCUACAUCUGAUCUGUACUUUCAAGAACGUAGAUGGCUUUCACUAGGAAAACCCAAUAUUUUGCUCAGGUUUUUCAGAAACUUGGAUUGUCAUUGUUUCUUUGCUCAGACCUUGCAUAGACAAACGCACGCACCUGCCACACCUGAGGUGACCAUGUAGCUUUUGAGGGCAAGAGGGAAGGUCAGCGCUUGGAAAUGCUCAAGGCAGCCCUGAGCAAGUCCCUUUUCCCUGCUGGCCAAACCCUUGCUCCAGCAGCCUCACACCACUCACCCAUCCCUGUACAAGCCAGUGCCCUUUGCUGUGUCUGCAUGGAUGUACAGUGUCACAAGCAGCAACUCUGGACAAUGACAGAGGAACAGGCAUUCACCAGUGAAAACAAGACACGGGACAUGUUCAGGAACUAUACCUACAUUGAUUCAGUGAGAUUUAUAUAGAUAUAGAUAGAUAUAUAUAUAUGUAAGUGUGUGGAGGUGUGUGUAUGUCUAUGUAUAUAAAAUACACAGGACUAACUAUUUUGGGGGCUGCAUCACCCAGGAAGAUUCUGAUGCAGUGGACCAAGGGUUCCCAUCUCAGAUACUGCUGGGAAUUUCAUGCAUGAAACAUGAAUGUCCCCUAGGCCUGAUCCUGUAAAGUAUUCAUUGCUGAUUUGGAUCUCAAAUUUAAAUUUUCAUACUUGAGUACCUGAAAAUAUGAGUUCCUACUGGGUAGAGAUGCUUUUCAACCCUUGGAAACCCCAUGCAACUUCCAAGUGACAGGCUGAAAUUUCCCAUAACUUGCAAAACUAAAAAAGUUUCAACUUUUCUGUGAUCUUAAAUAUAGCAGAUGUACAGUAUUAAACACAAUGAAGAGGUUUAAAUGGGAUGAAAAUGUCAUAACAGGUUAUUUUAUCUUUCCCUGUAUACCAGUUAAUCAAAAUGAUAUUUCUAUAAAAAUCAUUUUUUAACAUGAAAAGAAACCAGUUUAGGCACCUAAGCAGCAAUCCAAUUUUCAGAAGAUAAUUUUUCAUACCUUUCAGUGAUUUCCCAUGGAACAGCGGCUACUGGUAGUUAGCAAUUUUAGAAGUCAGACGAUUUAAUGAAGUGUCUGCACGUAGCUUAUAGGCCUGAUUUUAAAUUAGAAAAUUUUGGCCUUAAUUUCUCUGUGUCUUAGUCUUCCCAUCCAUAAUACAGAAUAAUAUGUGCCUCACAGGCUUUUUGUGAGGUCUGAAUUGUUAAUGUUUGUAAAAUGCUUAGGAAAUAGGAAGCACAUCUAACUACUAUGGAUUGCAAUAUAAAUGUGUAUUCAUAUAUUACAUAUAGAGUAGAUACACACACUCACAUACACACAGUAUAUAUAUAUAUAUAUAUAUACACACAUACAUACCUAUAUGAAGUUGGUAUUCAUAACCUUGCUUAAGUUGCAGUUAGAGCACCACCAUUAAAAACGUUAGGACUGUUGACUACUCAACUAAAUGAUUAGUGGACAGAUCUCUUCUGGAAGCAGUUUAGAGCACAGUAAUGUGAGAAUAUCUGGAUGGCAUUUUUGAUUUGUACAGCUGUAUCCUCCUCAAAAUCCAGUAAAGAAUGUUAUUUUUCUAGGCUGGGCUUUUGUUAUAAACUAAAAUAUUCAGAAGGCAAGAGAUACAAUCCAAAUGUGUCUUUUUUCCUUUCUUUUUGGCAUUUGUUAAUUCUGAAUGUAUUUUUAACAAAAGUGAUUUUUUUGACUUACUAGUGUAAUUUGCAUUUAAAAAAAAAUAAAUGGAAAAAUAUAGGUUUCCAAGCUAUUCAUGGCCCCCUGCUGCUAUUCAGAACUUACAGGAAACUCAGAAUUACUCUUCCCAGCUGAGCAACAAUGCAGGAUAAAGAAUCCUAUUACAUUUACAUGAUGACAAUCCCGAUCUGUGCAGUGCAUGGAUGUGACAGCCCUGAAUAGAAAUUGCCAGGUCAUGACACCAUUUUAACGCUGUCAUAUGUACCAGGUAUUUUCAUUAUCACUGACACUAAAAGGUUUCUUUUACAAGGCUGACUGCAACAGACUCUACUUAGAAAACAGGACUGGUUUUUGCCCACUCAUCAGGAAUUUUAAGCCCAUGAUAGGUAUAGAGUUGCCAACAGUGUUAAGUAUUGCAAAAAUAAUACUUGUUAAGAAUGAGCUGUGUAACAUGGAUAUUUCCUCUGCAUUCAUAUUCUUUUAUAUGCUAUUUAUUGUCCCUACACUGGAAUGAUGGAAUCCUGUUUUAGGAAAAAUGUUUAUAGAGCUCACAUAUAUUGACAGCUUGCCUGAGGUCAUUUAAUAAAGGUGGAGCAGAAUUAUAUAAAUUUUGAAAUACUCAGUCAUGCUCUCUUAGGAUGACUCCUUAGAAAGAGAGUUCUUUCGUUAGGACUUUUUAGGUCUUCAUAAUAGUGCAAGUGAUACUUUUCAGUCAGGUAAGGAGAAAUGGUUUGUGCUCCACCUGCUAAAUCUAAGUACUGUUGACAAUAUUCCACUGCUGCACAGCAUUUUGAUAAAGUGUCGCACAGUUAUCUAUUGAUUGCUGGAUGUCUCCAGAUAGGAAUGGCCAUUAACUCAGUGUCUGAGGCCUUUCAUCACUGGCAUGCUCACCUUCCAUUUGAGCACACUGAUAGUAGACCAAGCAAAACUCCACACUGUGAAUCACUCCACCUUGCAAUAUUUUCAUUUCCAGUCCUCUGUUUUAGUUUUAAAGGCAAAUACUAUAGCCCCAUUAAUAGUCUAUGUGUAUGUAUUGCUUGCUGACUGUCUACUGGUGAGUAGCUGAGAUGAAAGUGAUGGACUUCUUGAAUUUGUUCCCUAGCUAUUCUGAAUCUGGCUUUUUCCCAGCACGUGUGGAUUGACAGCAGACACUAAAGGUAAGCCAGGUGUUGUUGAAGAACCAAUACAUAGCAGUACUGCAGACAGCACUGCGUCCACUGCUCCUUGGAGAAAGAUGAAGACAGUUGUUAAGCUAAUUGGUCUGCUUCAAGCUAUGUGCAGUAUUAAAUGCAAUUACAAUGCAUAAAAGAAACUGCCCUUUAGACUGCAAUUACUCAUUCACAUACAGAAGUGGCACAGCACAGAAUCAGUAAAAGAGAUUUUCCUCCUGUAGUCACCAAUAUGCUUCAUCUCCUGACAUGGAUUGGAGAAAUCAGCUCUGUUUGAUCUCAUGUCCUGACAAGUCCCUCUGUUCAGACCUUCAACAAGAGAAGCAAUUACAGCUAGUUAAAGUUGAGACCUUGGCACAGCUGAGUGGUUUAGGAAGAUACUGUACCAAAUGUGAAGUUCUAAGUAGCACCAUGCAUACAUUUGUUGCACAUCUCUCUCCAUACGUACAAAAGAAGGGUCUUUUAAAAAUGCACUUUUCCUUUAUCUCUCAGAAACCAAUUGAAACAGAUUAUGUCUUUUACAAGUGUCUUCCAAAAUCCUGCCAAGAUCACAAAAGAUCACUUUUUAUUUUUCAAUAAAAAGUCCAAUAAAAACACCAAUUUUUCUGCUCUCUGUUGAGUAGAAGACGUAGCUUUUGGGACUUCCAACUGCCUUGAGAUUAUUAUUGUGGAUAGAUAGAAGCACUAUGAAACAUGAGAAACAUGAGAAUUAAAAAAUAAAUAAUGUUUGUGGUCAUCUCUGAUUCAAAAUUAUAUCUCUACAAAAGCCAUGCUUCUCCAUCCAUCAAUGGAAAAGGGUCUUUAUUGCCAUCUGGUACCUUAUCAUUUUCCCAGCUUUGCCUUUGUCCUGAUGGGAAAUAGGUUAUGGGGAGCUUAAGGUGAAGAGGCAUGUUCACAUCCAGCAUGUGCUCUCGAAAAGCCCCCAGUUCUGCCACACAGACAUUUCACACCUAGUUAAUUUCUCUCUCUCUGUCACCAUCUUCUCAUGCCAUUCUCACUGUCUCUCUUCCUGAACACAGCCCCAAAUACCCUCCCAAAAUUACGUACUGCUCUUUGUCACGCCCAUUGCUUCCAACUCACAUAAAGGUGGCAAUGGCAGCCGUGGAGGAGUGUCACUGAGGAUGGGUGCAAAAUGACAAGAAGAGGAAGCACAAGGUUAUGUACAUUCUCAAAAAGCCCCAGACAGGGAGACAUUUAACCAAAUGUAAAGGUUGGCAGCAUUACAGAAGCCAGGAGACGCAGCAAGCCCUGGCUGGAAUCAUAAUUCCAUUUGCUAAAGCUAUAGCUCACUAAGUACAGAGAAAGUCAUAAAUAUCCAGAGCUACAAAAGGCACAGGUGAAUUAGAAGAAAUUAAUAAAAAAUGUUUGUGAACACAUUUACUGGAUUAGAUUCACGUUUCCUUUUCUCCAAGAAUUUUCUCAGGAUUGUGUUUUUCCCCCUUGCAAACAUUUAGAUAGUUGAUUUCUUUGCAUGCAGGUGAAUAUUUUGUUCCUAGGAGAGCACACAAAUAUGUGAAAUUGCUUUAAUUUGCAUAGUAUUCUCCAUAUUGAUGCAUCUGUGUGCAUUUGUGGUAAAUGUUGGCUCAGUUCACUCAGUCACACAUACAUGCACACAUACACACACACCUGUUAUGUGGCUAUAUUUUAUGGUGGAGAUACAUAACCACACACAGUCUCUCACCUUUUCUGCUUAGCUUUUCCUGUCCCUCCUCUCAAGAUAUUAAAAGUCCUAUGUGUUUAUUUUCUAGACAGGGAUUUGGUAUACAAAAAUUAUUAUUUCUGAUAAUUACUGGAUGUACAAGCAUGGUGCAAUCUAUGAAUAGAGUAAAUAAGACAGUCCUUUCUACAAAGGAUUUAUGUGAUAAAUAAAGCAAGUUAAUGAGAACAUUUCAAGCAGGAAAAAAAAGAAAAA